GAUGAACGCUAGCGGGAGGCUUAACACAUGCAAGUCGAGGGGCAGCAUAGGGUAGCAAUACUCUGAUGGCGACCGGCAAACGGGUGAGUAACGCGUAUGCAACCUACCCUGUACAGGGGGAUAACCCGGAGAAAUUCGGACUAAUAUCCCGUAAUAAUAUCCGGAGGCAUCUUUGGAUAUUAAAGUUCCGACGGUACGGGAUGGGCAUGCGUAACAUUAGCUGGUUGGUAAGGUAACGGCUUACCAAGGCUAUGAUGUUUAGGGGUCCUGAGAGGGUGGUCCCCCACACUGGUACUGAGACACGGACCAGACUCCUACGGGAGGCAGCAGUGAGGAAUAUUGGUCAAUGGGCGCAAGCCUGAACCGGCCAUCCCGCGUGCAGGAAGACGGCCCUAUGGGUUGUAAACUGCUUUUCCAGGGAGAGAAACUUACGCACGUGUUGCGUGACUGACGGUACCCUGGGAAUAAGCAUCGGCUAACUCCGUG
rnacentral:rRNA from 1 species